rnacentral:rRNA from 1 species
UACAGAGGGUGCGAGCGUUAAUCGGAAUUACUGGGCGUAAAGCGCACGUAGUCGGCUUUGCAAGUCGGUUGUGAAAUCCCCGGGCUCAACCUGGGAACUGCAUCCGAGACUGCAUUGCUAGAGUAUGGGAGAGGAAAGCGGAAUUUCUGGUGUAGCAGUGAAAUGCGUAGAUAUCAGAAGGAACAUCAGUGGCGAAGGCGGCUUUCUGGGCCACUACUGACGCUGAGAAGCGAAAGCAUGGGGAGCGAACAGG